rnacentral:lncRNA from 1 species
UUUGAGCAAGGUUUAGCCAACCUGCAGUCACACACAGGAAGAGACAGUGCCAUCUUCCUCUGGAUAUUGUUGUGUUAUAUCUGGAGUUAGCACCUGGAAUUGUUACAGCCUUUUUGCUAUUAGGCUGAAGAUGAAGCCAAUGAGCAGAGAAAGGCCAAGGCAAGAGACGACAGAAAAGCAGUAGCCUCCCCGACUUCUGUAAGGCAGAAAGGUUAUUCAGAGAAGACUGCCAUGACUGCUCGGCUCUCAGGUCCCCCUUCCCUAUAUGACCUCUGACCAUGCUGGUGAAAAACAAGUUGAGCCUUUUCUUGUCCUGAAUGGUCAUUCUCCUUUC